rnacentral:lncRNA from 1 species
UCUGUGACAAUUUUAGUGAUUAACUAAGUGCUAAUUAUAAAUUGUCAAAAAUAUUUGUUUUAUAAAAUAGAUUUCAGAGUAGCAUGCGUGUGGAAGAAAGGAGGAGGGAAGUGUCACAUGCAAAAACAGGAUGCAACAAGUGAAGCACACAGAUAGCAUGGGAGAGAAAAUGUGAAAAGCAAUUCCUGAUUUGUGGAACCGAUUUGCAGCUGAAAUGAACCGUCCUAAGGAGGAAUGGCGUAGGGAUGCUUUUGUAUUUCCAGGAAACCAGGGCUACCAAACUGGCAGAGACUCUACUGUUCUUCAAGAGAUAUUGGACUUAGACAGAAGCGAAAGGACCUUUUUCUUUUCCUCUGACAGGACAACUGGAUCGGUGAAUGAAGGUGGCAAAGUACUGAAGAACAGGACCUCAAGAGACGAGAGAAACUUUUGCAGAUUGAAGUUUGAAUUAGCUUGUACUAGGCAUAACACUUUGAGUGACACGAGGCUGGCCAAAGACUAAGGGAAAACUUCAAGCCAGAUAUAUGUGUUCAAGAGCUCUAACUCUGCAGUGAAAGAAGAGGACAGAGUGCUUAUUGAUUCGUGUUACAGAAGCGCAGGAUGUUAUUGGCUUACCCCAUGUUCAGUGUUAUCUAAGGACAAUCAACUCUCAAGUUAAGUUACAGCAGCCUCCAGUGCCUGAUGCUGUUUCUAACCAUUGGAGGCAAAACAAGGUAUAGAAUAUGCAGUAAUCUGGGUAUUUCAAAAAGUUGGAUUUGUGGAUAUUUUAAUACCAGAAGUUGCCAGCUCUCAUGAAGAUUCAUGAAAGGGAUGAGCACGUGCUCAUGAAAACACUGGCAUAUUUGUUGAAAUAUGCCUGCGUCCAGUUUCUUGAUAGUUACUGUUUUGUCUCUUAUUCAGGGUAGAAGGGGAAAAAAAUCUUGGGCUGCUUUACGUUUAGUGCCAUUCAGAUCGAUGUAGUGUUUUUUUACAGUCUAAUAGCCAUUAAUCCCCUAGUUGCUCACCUUAGUCCAUAUGUAAAAGUAAUUGAAAUCAGUGGUUUUAAUUCAAAAACUUCAAUAAGCUUUUAAUCAAGCUCUUUGGUUAGUUCUUUCAUAAUGGUCAAUGAUGUGUGUAUUUUUUUAUAUUUGACCCUUUAAUGUCUUCUGACUUCUACUAUUGUUGAAGCUUCUGUGAGCCUGAAUGAAGUCUGAGACUGAAAAGACAGUCGACGGUAUCUGAAUUGUAAUAGUCAAAAAAAAUCUUCCAGAUCUCUUAAUAGCUCUUUUGAAAUGUGGAGAACAACUCCCAUGGAAGAUUCUACACAUCUGGUUAGUAAGAUCAAUCUGACAGUAACUACUAGUUAUGAAAACGCUAGUAAGCAUUUCUAUGAGUACCAUUCUAGUCCUUUCUGUUUUAUCUUCGAUUGGCUUGUCUCUGCUCUUUCACAUUUGUAUGUAAAAUGUCAAGCAUGGUAUCAUUAAAAAGUAGAAAAAACUCUCACAAAUACCUCUUAGAAAAAUACUUUCUGAUAUAAACUAUCUUGAUCUUGAUUUCUUUCAGCGUUUAUUUCCUAACUUGAAUAUAGUGGAGUAAGUAUUGCAAAUUCGAUUCACACAGUUCAUCGAAAAUCACUGGAUUUGGUGAGGAUAAUAUUAAAUCCAAUGACAUUCUUCUCCUUAAUGAUAGAGCAAUACAUAGUCAUUAAAAUCCAGGUUAUGUAAUUGUUGGGUUGCAGCCAGAACGUAUGAAGCCAUCACCUUGCCAUCUAUGGCAUCUGUGAUGCUUUGCUACUGUUCAUGAUGGAAUUCAGUGUAUUGCUGUCUUCUAGUAAUGUGGUAUAAAUACACUCCUCACUUGCGCUGUGGUUUUGAAUAGGUAUAUACUAGAAAGUUGCAUUGAUGGAACCAGAGCCAUCUGUAUUAUAAUCUUCAUUUGACAGUUUCUUCAUCUUCUAGUUGGAGGAAGUAUUAUAUAGCAUUUGUUGUCCUAGGUAUCCUUCACAGAAAUGAAUAGUUAAACUAUGAGUUAAGGAAAUAUUACACCUUAUUAGCAUUGUACUGUUAGUAGUGAACCAACAUUUUAGUUUGUUCCCUUGUUUAAGCUGACUUCUUGAUCUCUUGACACAACUGGGAGGGGAAAAGGUACAGGCCACUAAAGAACAUUUCAUAAACUCAACACCCACAAAACACAACUGGCAUAUAUCAGUAUUAUUUCCAUGCUUUAAGACUUACAGCAAGCUGGGCAGGGAGGACAGUGGAAGCAAGUGGUUUAGCUGACUGACCACAGUAGGAAAUUUCAGAGGGCCAUAGCGAUCCCAGAACGGUACCUGUUCUUCAGAAACACAGCAAAUGCUCACAGAAUGCUCACUGCAAAUUAAAGUAGAACAUCUUUGGCCCAAGGUGUCUUGACUGAUUUAAUUUCUGUAUCUUUUAUAGCUUACAUUAUAUUACGUUAAUUUUAUAAUAUUUAUAAUAUAAUAAAGGUUAAUUUCAUAUCUUUUCA